CAUUGUUAGCUCAUUUUGCUUUUAAUUCAUUAUUAGCGCGAACGCAGUCCCCGCUGCCAUAAAUUAUACACCCGAGUUCCACACGUUUGGCGGCACCUCUGGAGUGGUGUCUACAGUAGUGCAAUUAUGCAGGAAGAAGUCUACAAUUUUCGGCAUGUGAUUGGUCGAAGUCUACAAUAACUGAUCAUUGGUUGGUUAAUUGUCUGCGAUUUAAUUUUCUACAGUCUACAAUAAAUGAUCAGUGAUUGGCUUACUGUCUGAUGCUAAUGAGGAGGAGGGGCUUCUUCAUAGAAACGCUCGGUGAAUGAAGAUGAUUUUUUUUCUCCGAGAACUUCCCCAGAAUUUCUUUAAUUUUGCUUCAGUUUCUUUGUUUAAAACUGCUGAAAAGAACUUGACAGCACGAGUCGUACAGCCAAUAUUUUUGGACCAAUACAAAGAGGGUCUACAUCAAAGCAAUCACUUCAACAAAGCUCACUAAUUACCAGGCCAAAAAGUAUUUCAUCUGCUAGAUUUUCUUCCUCUGUUUUCUCAUCAACUCCCCAAAAUUAAAAGAGGACACAUCUGCUAAGUGCUAGUGGAUCUUCUACAUCUAC